CCUCUGUAUGGAAACUUGUUUCAGGGCCAAAUCCUUGUAGCUGUCUUCUUGCCCCGGUCAGUGCCAGCCGUACUAUUCACAACACUGCUGCUACCGAGGCCUAGGAUCAGUUCUUAAGAGCAGCCCCGGUAACUGGAGGAAUGGGAGCCGUUUUGAUGAGAAAAAUGGGCUGGAGAGAAGGAGAAGGAUUAGGAAAAAACAAAGAAGGCAAUAAGGAACCCAUCCUAGUUGAUUUUAAGACAGACCGAAAAGGUCUUGUUGCAGUAGGAGAAAGAGCACAAAAGAGGUCUGGGAACUUCUCUGCUGCAAUGAAAGAUCUGUCAGGCAAACAUCCUGUGUCUGCUUUGAUGGAGAUCUGUAAUAAAAGAAGGUGGCAACCACCUGAAUUUCUAUUGGUCCAUGAUAGUGGCCCUGAUCAUCGCAAACAUUUUCUCUUUAGGGUAUUGAGAAAUGGAAGCCCUUACCAGCCCAAUUGUAUGUUUUUCUUGAAUAGGUAUUGAUAAAUGGAAGCGCUUACCAGCCCAGCUUUGCCAGCCCUAAUAAGAAGCAUGCUAAAGCCACAGCAGCUACUGUGGUUCUUCAAGCAAUGGGCCUUGUACCAAAGGACCUCAUGGCUAAUGCCACUUGCUUCAGGAGUGCCUCACGUAGAUAGAUUGAGGUUUUAUAAUAAUCAUUUCAGAUAAUUUUACUCUGCAUCACAAUGUAUUUCCUCUUUAAUGUUGUAAAUAUUUGGCAAUUUAAGACAUUGUGUAAAAAGCAAUCUGUAAAAACAUCUCCAGGCUUUGAUUUUUGUACCAUGGAAAUUGUAUUUAACCAUACAGGGUUUUGGUAUGUUUAUAUUGUUUACCUUAGUGAUGUAUUUGUUUAAGUGGCUAACAUCCAAACGACUGUUUGAAGGCAUCAGAGUAAUCUUCAGUGUGGAAUGUUAAAUAACGCUUUUAUACUGUAUUUUGUACUAU
rnacentral:sRNA from 1 species